rnacentral:rRNA from 2 species
ACCCGCGGCGCAUUAGCUAGUUGGUGAGGUAACGGCUCACCAAGGCAACGAUGCGUAGCAGACCUGAGAGGGUGAUCGGCCACACUGGGACUGAGACACGGCCCAGACUCCUACGGGAGGCAGCAGUAGGGAAUCUUCCGCAAUGGACGAAAGUCUGACGGAGCAACGCCGCGUGAGUGAUGAAGGUUUUCGGAUCGUAAAGCUCUGUUGUUAGGGAAGAACAAGUACCGUUCGAAUAGGGCGGUACCUUGACGGUACCUAACCAGAAAGCCACGGCUAACUACGUGCCAGCAGCCGCGGUAAUACGUAGGUGGCAAGCGUUGUCCGGAAUUAUUGGGCGUAAAGGGCUCGCAGGCGGUUUCUUAAGUCUGAUGUGAAAGCCCCCGGCUCAACCGGGGAGGGUCAUUGGAAACUGGGGAACUU